rnacentral:tRNA from 1 species
CGGGGUGUAGCGCAGAUGGUAGCGCGCAUGGUUUGGGACCAUGAGGCCGCGGGUUCGAGACCUGCCACCCCGACCA